AUGGUCAACCCCAUCGUGUUCUUUGACAUCACUGUCAACAGCGAGCCCUUGGACCAUGUCUCUUUCAAGCUGUUUGCAGACAAAGUUCCAAAGACAGCAGGAUGGUGACUUCACGCGCCAUAAUGGUGCUGGUGGCAAGUUCAUCUAUGGUGAGAAAUUUGAAGAUGGGUAUUUCAUCCUGAAGCAUACAGGUCCUGGAAUCUUGUCCAUGGCAAAUGCAGGCCCCAACACAAACAGUUCCCAGUUUUUCAUCUGCUCUGCCAAGAUUGAGUGGUUGGAUGGCAAGCAUGCGGUCUUUGGCAAGGUGAAAGAGGGCGUGAAUACUGUGGAAGCCAUGGAGCGCUUUGGGUCCAGGAAUGGCAAGACCGGCAAGAAGACCACCAUUGCUGACUGUGGACAAAUCUAAUAAAUUUGACUUGUGUUUUACUUAACCACGAGACCAUUCCUUCUGUAGCCCAGGAGAGCACCCCUUCACCUCCAUCUGCUUGAAAUAUCCUAUAAUCUUUGUGCUCUUGCUACAGUUCUUUGGGUUCCAUAUUUUCCUUAUCCCCCUCCAAGUUUAGCUGGAUUGCAAAGUUAAAUUUAUGAUUAUGAAAUAAAAACUAAACAAUAAAAAAAAAAAAAAAA